rnacentral:rRNA from 1 species
UUCCGUAGGGUGAACCUGCGGAGGGAUCAUUACCGAGUUAUACAACUCAUCAACCCUGUGAACAUACCUAUAACGUUGCCUCGGCGGGAACAGACGGCCCCGUAACACGGGCCGCCCCCGCCAGAGGACCCCCUAACUCUGUUUCUAUAAUGUUUCUUCUGAGUAAACAAGCAAAUAAAUUAAAACUUUCAACAACGGAUCUCUUGGCUCUGGCAUCGAUGAAGAACGCAGCGAAAUGCGAUAAGUAAUGUGAAUUGCAGAAUUCAGUGAAUCAUCGAAUCUUUGAACGCACAUUGCGCCCGCCAGUAUUCUGGCGGGCAUGCCUGUUCGAGCGUCAUUACAACCCUCAGGCCCCCGGGCCUGGCGUUGGGGAUCGGCGGAAGCCCCCUGCGGGCACAACGCCGUCCCCCAAAUACAGUGGCGGUCCCGCCGCAGCUUCCAUUGCGUAGUAGCUAACACCUCGCAACUGGAGAGCGGCGCGGCCACGCCGUAAAACACCCAACUUCUGAAUGUUGACCUCGAAUCAGGUAGGAAUACCCGCUGAACUUAAGCAUAUCAAUAAGCGGAGGAA